GGGGAUGACAGGCUUCGACGGGGCAGGUCGUUCUUUGACUGCAAGCCGUAGAGCGUCGGCUACGUUAAAAAGGCGCACACCCUAUACAUGCCAACACUGGCAAAUCCUUCGCUAUGCCCCAGCCCGCCCUCGCGCUGGCUGCGUAAGCAAACUGCGAAGCUGACCCCCAGGGGUCACGACCUAUCCCAAUGGCGCCCGCAGGUUGGGGUAACGUCGUCAUAAACUGAAGGGCUGCGGCGGUCUGACGCCGAUAUGACCGCCAAAGACUGAUCGGCUAGCCGGACAUGCUGAAUCCCGUCGUACGGAGUCCGCCCGGUGAAACACUAAAUGUGCGACUACGCUUGUAGACGUCUCUGGACAAAUGUUUCGGACGCGGGUUCGAUUCCCGCCAUCUCCACAC
rnacentral:tmRNA from 1 species